rfam:Medicago truncatula strain A17 chromosome 5, whole genome shotgun sequence.
UCAGGGUAAAAUAGUGAGUAGCCGACUUGGGGAAAUGAUCGACCCUUGAGAUAAGUUUAAAUCUGCUUUUUUAAACCCCAUAAACUUUUUACCGUGGGUAAAAAGAAUCUUCUUGGGAUAAAAAAAAAAUCAGAUUUAAAUUUAGCUCAAGGGUUGAUGAUGUAUUUUCCCCAAAAGGCUGCUCACUAUUUUACCCCAA